rnacentral:rRNA from 1 species
CACGUAGGGACCAAGCGUUGUCCGGAUUUAUUGGGCGUAAAGCGCUCGUAGGCGGUUCGAUAAGUCGGGUGUGAAAACCCCGGGCUCAACCCGGGGAGGCCACCCGAUACUGUCGUGACUGGAGUCCGGUAGGGGAGAGCGGAAUUCCUGGUGUAGCGGUGAAAUGCGCAGAUAUCAGGAGGAACACCAGUGGCGAAGGCGGCUCUCUGGACCGGUACUGACGCUGAGGAGCGAAAGCGUGGGGAGCAAACAGG